rnacentral:rRNA from 1 species
GUGGGGAAUAUUGGACAAUGGGCGAAAGCCUGAUCCAGCCAUGCCGCGUGUGUGAAGAAGGUCUUCGGAUUGUAAAGCACUUUAAGUUGGGAGGAAGGGCAGUAAGUUAAUACCUUGCUGUUUUGACGUUACCGACAGAAUAAGCACCGGCUAACUUCGUGCCAGCAGCCGCGGUAAUACGAAGGGUGCAAGCGUUAAUCGGAAUUACUGGGCAUAAAGCGCGCGUAGGUGGUUUUGUAAGUUGGAGGUGAAAUCCCCGGGCUCAACCUGGGAACUGCCUCCAAAACUGCAUGACUAGAGUACGGUAGAGGGUAGUGGAAUUUCCUGUGUAGCGGUGAAAUGCGUAGAUAUAGGAAGGAACACCAGUGGCGAAGGCGACUACCUGGACUGAUACUGACACUGAGGUGCGAAAGCGUGGGGAGCAAACAGGAUUAGAUACCCGAGUAGUCC